rnacentral:rRNA from 1 species
AACGCGAAGAACCUUACCAGGUCUUGACAUCCCAUUGACCAUCAGAGUAACGUCUGACUUCCUUCGGGACAAUGGAGACAGGUGGUGCAUGGUUGUCGUCAGCUCGUGUCGUGAGAUGUUGGGUUAAGUCCCGCAACGAGCGCAACCCUUAUCUUUAGUAGCCAGCGGAUAGAGCCGGGCACUCUAGAGAGACUGCCGGGGAUAACCCGGAGGAAGGCGGGGAUGACGUCAAAUCAUCAUGCCCCUUAUGAUCUGGGCUACACACGUGCUACAAUGGCGGCCACAAAGAGAAGCAAACCCGCGAGGGGGAGCAAAUCCCAAAAAAGCCGCCCAGUUCGGAUUGUAGUCUGCAACUCGACUACAUGAAGCUGGAAUCGCUAGUAAUCGCGAAUCAGAAUGUCGCGGUGAAUACGUUCCCGGGUCUUGUACACACCG